rnacentral:SRP_RNA from 1 species
CAUGAUCGAUGGCGGGCGAACGCGUCGUUUACUUGGUCAGGUCUGAGAGGAAGCAGCCACAAUGGCAUCCGUUCGGGUCGCCAUCGGUCACUUUG